AAAAUGAAAAUGUUCAGGAAAACCUGAUCCCAAAACUUGCCAGCAUGCCUUUGAUUAUGUUAGCUGAUAGUUUGGUUAGACCACAGGCUUAUCUGUCCACCGGUGCCCAGUCCCUGGAGUAUGUCAUUGCCCUCUUGCAUCGCACCACCGAACCACUCCUGGUGUGGGGCCGUCCUGAUAGCGUCUGCCUCCGUUUCCAGUGGCUCCUUCUCAACAGCAAGGGACAAAGGCAUGGCUCCUCUAUUCAGCCGGGAGGAAACAAAACCAGACCCUCGUCCGAGGCAGAGGAAUGGACUGAACCCCAUUCUGAUGCUGUCUCUGUGGGUACCCCAACAUUUAUCUUAAACCACUUGGGGCUGAUGCUGACACCCUCAUGGCAGAUGCUCAGAAGCCUGGAAGCAUCCAAAGUGCUGCUGCACACCGUGUGCCCUGCAUUUUAUCUAGAAGGCCAUUUUCAGCUGUCUCUAUAGAGGGGCUGGCGAAGGGGAUUGGCACGACCUUGUGGCCACAGCUCGCCUGUCUUUCCUCCUCGGCGGCGGUGGCGGCGGCUGCCUUUCUUCUGUGCUGGCCACAGGAGGGAGGGCAAGGACUUGGUCUCGAGAGUCCGAGCACCAGGGUCAGAGGAAAGUGCAGGAUCGCACCACGAUUAUUCUUUUUUCCUCAUUCUCCAGAGCAGCCGAGGAUGACUUGCGGUUCUCCCCACUGCCUCUUUUUCCUCACAGCACCCCCGUGAGGAUCGUACAAGGGCAAUGAAGUUUCAACAAGAUACUGCUCCAUCUAUGAAAAAGACAAACUCUCCACCCCAAUAUGAUUCAGAGCGGCCCUGAAACAUAAAUAUAGGCCUUCCUAAAAUCCAUAGCCAGAGUGUGUGGCACGGUAUGCCUACAGAUGCGGAAUGCCGUGCAAUUCAGAUGAAAAUCUACUUUAGUGACUGGUCUCAUUGGCCCGGCUGCAAAUUGCUUUUGCAGGAACGUUUCCCGUCUUGGGAGCCAGGUCAGUCAAACUGAGGUUCUUGUUUCAAGUGUGUUGAUGUGUGCCUGUUUCUCUUUGAGGAAGAAAGUCGUGAGGGGAAUGAGCAGUGAUGGAGUGGAGCUGGGGCUCACAGAGGCACAACCCCCGUAUGUUUUCACCGGCGGGGUCGAUGCCAUCAUCUGCCCCUCCUUGGCAUUCUCUACUUCCUCGAGGUGGAGGUGCAAUUCUGGCCCUACCUGCGGAGAAAUGUAUUUUCCUAGCAACCAGUUAUCGUUCUGUAUUGUCAUGUAAAAUAUUUGGUUGGGUAUGCAAGGUGGAGACAAAAACUCCUUGAACUGGUUUACUGAGAGGGUGCAAGGCAGCCCCCUGCCAUUUCUGGCUUCUCCUUGGGAACAAAGCUAAGUGGGGCAGUGCUGACGAGAGCCCCCCCCCCCCAAAUUCAGCACUCCAUCCCUGCAAAGGAGAAGUGGGAGUAGAUGGAUCAGGUGCCACUGGAGAUGAAUUUAAGGGGAAGGCUAGGCUAGAAAAGCAAAGGCUUCAUUAAAUAAGUGGAUUAUGAGAAAGGACGUGAAAGGAGAGAGGGGGAGAGAGAGCAAGCCAGCCUUCCCCCAUGCAAGAGGGAGAGGCUGCUCCAGGGACUGGGAAGCUGCAUGGCUGCAGGAGGAGAGGGCGCUGUCACUAUGCCACUUUUAUCCUCCUGUGUGGCUCUUUCUUUGUUAUGUGUUUCAUUU